AUACGAAGGGUGCAAGCGUUAAUCGGAAUUACUGGGCGUAAAGCGCGCGUAGGUGGUUUUGUAAGACAGUGGUGAAAUCCCCGGGCUCAACCUGGGAACUGCCAUUGUGACUGCAAGGCUGGAGUGCGGCAGAGGGGGAUGGAAUUCCGCGUGUAGCAGUGAAAUGCGUAGAUAUGCGGAGGAACACCGAUGGCGAAGGCAAUCCCCUGGGCCUGCACUGACGCUCAUGCACGAAAGCGUGGGGAGCAAACAGGAUUAGAUACCCUGGUAGUCCACGCCCUAAACGAUGUCAACUGGUUGUUGGGGAUUUAUUUUCUCAGUAACGAAGCUAACGCGUGAAGUUGACCGCCUGGGGAGUACGGCCGCAAGGUUAAAACUCAAAGGAAUUGACGGGG
rnacentral:rRNA from 1 species